CUGAGAUUGUCAAUUCUGAUGAUCUCAGCCAAGGAGGUGGGACGUGGAGCGGAACCAAACGCUGCACUUGCCAUUCAGCAUCUAAUUAAUCAUCAUUAAAUCAGUGCAUCUCUAUGGGGAAAGUUCAUUGCCUCCAUGCAAAGCAGCACUGACUUGAAAAGCACCGCUAGUGGCCGUCUGAGUGACUGCCACUGGAGGUGUCCCUAGGGAGCAAAUAGCAAAGAGGCUGCAGGAACUGACUAUAUAC